rnacentral:rRNA from 1 species
GCACCUGGGACUGAGACACGGCCCAGACUCCUACGGGAGGCAGCAGUGGGGAAUAUUGGACAAUGGGCGCAAGCCUGAUCCAGCCAUGCCGCGUGAGUGAUGAAGGCCCUAGGGUUGUAAAGCUCUUUCACCGGUGAAGAUAAUGACGGUAACCGGAGAAGAAGCCCCGGCUAACUUCGUGCCAGCAGCCGCGGUAAUACGAAGGGGGCUAGCGUUGUUCGGAUUUACUGGGCGUAAAGCGCACGUAGGCGGACUUUUAAGUCAGGGGUGAAAUCCCGGGGCUCAACCCCGGAACUGCCUUUGAUACUGGAAGUCUUGAGUAUGGAAGAGGUAAGUGGAAUUGCGAGUGUAGAGGUGAAAUUCGUAGAUAUUCGCAGGAACACCAGUGGCGAAGGCGGCUUACUGGUCCAUUACUGACGCGGAGGUGAGAG